rnacentral:rRNA from 1 species
GGGCCCGCACAAGCGGUGGAGCAUGUGGUUUAAUUCGAUGCAACGCGAAGAACCUUACCAAGGCUUGACAUACUACAGAUUUCUUUGAAAAAAGGAAAGUGCCUUCGGGAACCGAGUGACAGGUGCUGCAUGGCUGUCGUCAGCUCGUGUCGUGAGAUGUUGGGUUAAGUCCCGUAACGAGCGCAACCCUUGUCCUUAGUUGCCAGCGGUUCGGCCGGGGACUCUAAGAAGACUGCCAGCGCAAGCUGAGAGGAAGGUGGGGAUGACGUCAAAUCAUCACGGCCCUUACGUCCUGGGCUACACACGUGCUACAAUGGUAGGGACAGAGAGUUGCCAACCCGCGAGGGUGAGCU